rnacentral:rRNA from 1 species
GACGAACGCUGGCUGCGUGCUUAACACAUGCAAGUCGAACGGAAAUGCCCUGCUUUUGUGGGGUGCUCGAGUGGCGAACGGGUGAGUAACACGUGAGUAACCUGCCCUUGACUUUGGGAUAACUUCAGGAAACUGGGGCUAAUACCGGAUAGGAGCUCCUGCUGCAUGGUGGGGUUUGGAAAGUUUCGGCGGUUGGGGAUGGACUCGCGGCUUAUCAGCUUGUUGGUGGGGUAGUGGCUUACCAAGGCUUUGACGGGUAGCCGGCCUGAGAGGGUGACCGGCCACAUUGGGACUGAGAUACGGCCCAGACUCCUACGGGAGGCAGCAGUGGGGAAUAUUGCACAAUGGGCGGAAGCCUGAUGCAGCAACGCCGCGUGCGGGAUGACGGCCUUCGGGUUGUAAACCGCUUUCGCCUGUGACGAAGCGUGAGUGACGGUAAUGGGUAAAGAAGCACCGGAUAACUACGUG